rnacentral:rRNA from 1 species
GACGAACGCUGGCGGCGGGCUUAACACAUGCAAGUCGAACGGUGAAGCGCCUUCCUUUUUGGGGGGUGGGGGUGAGUGGGGGAGGGGUGAGUAACACGUUGGUAAGCUGCCCCCUUCUUCUGGAUAACCGCAUGAAAGUUUGGCUAAUACUGGAGAGUCUGGGUCUGUGGCAUGAUGGGUCUGGGGAAGAUAUUGUUUCGGUGGGGGGGGGGCUCGCGGCCUAUCAGCUUGUUGGUGGGGUGGUGGCCUACCAAGGCGGUGACGGGUAGCCGGCCUGAGAGGGUGGACGGUCACACUGGGACUGAGACACGGCCCAGACUCCUACGGGAGGCAGCAGUGGGGAAUAUUGCACAAUGGGCGCAAGCCUGAUGCAGCGACGCCGCGGGAGGGAUGGAGGCCUGCGGGUUGUGAACCUCUUUCGCCAGUGAAGCAGGCCCGCCUCGUUUGUGGGUGGGUUGACGGUAGCUGGAGAAGAAGCGCCGGCUAACUACGUG